AAAGACUUGACGGUACUUCACAACACCCUAGAGGAGCCUGUCUAAUAACCGAUACUCCACGAUUAACCCCACCCGUUCUAGCCACACAGUAUAUAUACCGCCGUCGCCAGCUUACCUUGUAAAAGAAAUAAAGUGAGCAAAAUAAACCACCUUUAACACGACAGGUCAAGGUGUAACUAAUGAACAGGUAAAAGAUGGGCUACAUUUUCUAACAUAGAAAACACGAAUCAAACAUGAAACCAAAACUGAAGGCGGAUUUAGCAGUAAGAUAAAAAUAGAAUGCUUAACUGAAAUUAAUGCAAUGAAGUGCGUACACACCGCCCGUCACCCCUG
rnacentral:rRNA from 1 species